GGGAACAACAGCUGGAAACGGCUGCUAAUACCCCAUAGGCUGAGGAGCAAAAGGAGGAAUCCGCCCAAGGCCGGGGCUCGCGUCUGAUUAGUUAGUUGGUGAGGCAAUGGCUUACCAAGGCGACGAUCAGUAGCUGGUCCGAGAGGAUGAUCAGCCACACUGGGACUGAGACACGGCCCAGACUCCUACGGGAGGCAGCAGUGGGGAAUUUUCCGCAAUGGGCGAAAGCCUGACGGAGCAAUGCCGCGUGAAGGCAGAAGGCCCACGGGUCAUGAACUUCUUUUCUCGGAGAAGAAAAAAUGACGGUAUCUGAGGAAUAAGCAUCGGCUAACUCUGUGCCAGCAGCCGCGGUAAAGACAGAGGAUGCAAGCGUUAUCCGGAAUGAUUGGGCGUAAAGCGUCUGUAGGUGGCUUUUCAAGUCCGCCGUCAAAUCCCA
rnacentral:rRNA from 1 species